rnacentral:rRNA from 1 species
UACGGAGGGUGCGAGCGUUGUCCGGAAUCACUGGGCGUAAAGGGCGCGUAGGCGGCUCGUGAAGUCAGUGGUGAAAGCCCAGGGCUCAACUCUGGGUCGGCCACUGAUACUCGCGAGCUCGAGUUUGGUAGAGGCAGAUGGAAUUCCGGGUGUAGCGGUGGAAUGCGUAGAGAUCCGGAAGAACACCGGUGGCGAAGGCGGUCUG